UACGAAGGGGCGUAGCGUUGUCUCGGUAAGUACACUGGGCGGUAAAGGGUAGGCGUAGGCGGGUCGUUUAAGUUACAGUGGUGAAAUACUCGGCGCUCAACGCCGAAACUGCCUUUGUAUACUAUAAGUCUUGAGUUUGGUAGAGAUCCGUGGAAUUCCGAGUGUAGCAGUGAAAUGUGUAGAUAUUCGGAAGAACACCAGCGGCGAAGGCAGCGGAUUGGGCCAAUACUGACGCUCAGGCACGAAAGCNUGGGGAUCAAACAGGAUUAGAUACCCUAGUAGU
rnacentral:rRNA from 1 species